AUAAAUUCUCUUCUCAGACCCUGUUUCUUAUCAGCUUAAUAUCUGAUACGGUUGCUAUAUGCAUCCGGGAUAUUAUGGCAAUUUUGUUCCAUGGGGCCGUGCAGGGGCUUGACUCCUCCGGUUGCCGCGGGUUGGCCCGUCAUUGCACUGCCGUCGGUGUUCAGCCCUGUUUCC
rnacentral:snRNA from 1 species